rnacentral:rRNA from 1 species
GAUGAACGCUGGCGGCGUGCCUAAUACAUGCCAGUCGAGCGAACGGACGAGAAGCUUGCUUCUCUGAUGUUAGCGGCGGACGGGUGAGUAACACGUGGAUAACCUACCUAUGAGACUGGGAUAACUUCGGGACACUGGAGCUAAUACCGGAUGAUAUUUUGACCCGCAUGGUUCAAAAGUGAAAUACGGUCUUGCUGUCACUUAUAGAUGGAUCCGCGAUGCAUUAGCUAGUUGGUAAGGUAACGGCUUACCAAGGCAACGAUGCAUAGCCGACCUGAGAGGGGGAUCGGCCACACUGGAACUGGACCACGGUCCGGACUCCUCCGGGAGGCACCAGAGGGGAAUCUUGCGCAAGGGGGGAAAUCCGGACGGGGCAACGCGGCGGGGGUGAGGAAGGUCUUCGGAUCGUAAAACCUGUUUAUUAGGGAAGAACAGUUGUGUAAGUAACUGUGCACAUCUUGACGGUACCUAAUCAGAAAGCCACGGCUAACUACGUG